AUGCCCUCCACUGCGGGCCCGCUAACUGCCUUCUCCCUCCCGCCAGGGCGACUCGGGUGCACCGGGCGAGCGUGGUCCUCCCGGGGCUGCAGGCCCCAUGGGCCCCCGAGGUGGAGCUGGACCCCCAGGCCCCGAAGGAGGGAAGGGUGCUGCUGGCCCCCCCGGGCCACCCGGCUCGGCAGGUACCCCCGGUCUGCAGGGGAUGCCCGGAGAGAGAGGAGGGCCCGGCGGCCCCGGCCCCAAGGGCGACAAGGUAGGAUGGCCACACAGGUGCCAAGGCCAACCUGCUCCCAAAGCCACCCUACGGUCCUGCGGCUACUACCCCACCCCGGGCAGCCUCCCGGGGUUGCUCCUGGGCCCGUUCCAGCCAUGACGCUGACUUCUGUUCGACAGGGCGAACCAGGCAGUGCAGGUGCAGAUGGAGCCCCGGGGAAGGAUGGUCCCAGGGUGAGUGUCUCUAUGACCUGGAAGUUUCUCUCCUCCACUUGUAUUUGCUGUAAAACCUCAUCAUGAUGGCCUAGACCGUAUUUGGCCACUUUCUGACCACUAGGAAGGCCCACAUGACAUGAAUGUUAAAAUUCCUGGCUUAUAUCUGUCAUUACCUGAUGGUCCGACCAUGACGUGAGAAUAGAAAAAUCUCAAAAGUCUGAUAAAAGUUAAAAGCUAAAGUCAUAAUGAGUCACUAACAUCCAACAUAAUCAAUAGUGUUCAUGAAGGAAUCUUUUGAUUUGAUGAACAUCGUAAUUCUGUGGUAUAGUCAGACUGUGGGCAUCUACCUACCGAUAGAAAAUACACACAACUUAUGCUAACCUCAAAGACACCAGCUUCCAGAGCUUAUACGCACAUUCCCGCGCAAAUGAGAAUGUGUACAACGGCUGGGCCGGGGUCAGCUCUGGGGAUGGUACCAAUGCCAGUCGCGUGGUUCCGACAUGGUACAACAGUUGUGUAGAUACUGACAUUCAGGGAUGCUGAGAGAAAGGUGCAUAGGAUUUUCUUGUAUCUUCUUUUGCAACCUCCUGGAAGGCAUAACUAUUUCAAAAUAAAGGUUAAAAACAAACAAAAUAGAAAAACA
rnacentral:lncRNA from 1 species